rnacentral:rRNA from 1 species
GGUUACCUCGAUCAGGAGG